rnacentral:rRNA from 1 species
CCUACGGGUGGCAGCAGUGGGGGAUAUUGCACAAUGGAGGAAACUCUGAUGCAGCGACGCCGCGUGAGGGAAGACGGUCUUCGGAUUGUAAACCUCUGUCUUUGGGGAAGAAAAUGACGGUACCCAAAGAGGAAGCUCCGGCUAACUACGUGCCAGCAGCCGCGGUAAUACGUAGGGAGCGAGCGUUGUCCGGAAUUACUGGGUGUAAAGGGAGCGUAGGCGGGCGAGAAAGUUGAAUGUUAAAUCUACCGGCUUAACUGGUAGCUGCGUUCACAACUUCUUGUCUUGAGUGAAGUAGAGGCAGGCGGAAUUCCUAGUGUAGCGGUGAAAUGCUUAGAUAUCACGAAGAACUCCGAUUGCGAAGGCAGCCUGCUGGACUGUAACUGACGCUGAUGCUCGAAAGUGUGGGUAUCAAACAGGAUUAGAUACCCUUGUAGUC